GAUGAACGCUGGCGGCGUGCUUAACACAUGCAAGUCUACCAAGAAUCACUUCGGUGAGGAAUGGUGGCGGACGGGUGAGUAACGCGUAAAUAAUCUGCCCUUUAGACUGGGAUAUCCUUUGGAAACGAAGGUUAAUACCGGAUAUUAUGAGAUGGACGCAUGUUCAACUUAUGAAAGCUAAAUGCACUAGAGGAGGAGUUUGCGUCCCAUUAGCUAGUUGGUGAGGUAAAGGCUCACCAAGGCCACGAUGGGUAGCCGGCCUGAGAGGGUGAACGGCCACAAGGGAACUGAGACACGGUCCUUACUCCUACGGGAGGCAGCAGUGGGGAAUAUUGGACAAUGGACCAAAAGUCUGAUCCAGCAAUUCUGUGUGCACGAUGAAGGUCUUCGGAUUGUAAAGUGCUUUCAGUAGGGAAGAAAAAAAUGACGGUACCUACAGAAGAAGCGACGGCUAAAUAUGUGCCAGCCGCCGCGGUAAUAC
rnacentral:rRNA from 1 species